AAAUCAGAAAAUCAUGAAAAUUAAUACCUGCGAAGUGGUCAAGAACGGGUAAAACGCGAAAUAAAGUAUCCGCGAAAAUAAGUUGGUUUACAGUAUGUCAUUUCUAACAAAUAUGUUUUUGUCCUGUCUUACACAAGAAUGUGUAAAACCAUCUACAAAGGAAUAGAACCAAACUUGACAGAAUUUGUUCACACUGUAUACCAUGUUUAUGUUGAAUCAUAUAUUUCGGGGGUAAAAUGUUUCCCAUAGUCAAAACUCAAAACUAAUACAAAUGAAGAGGUUUAUGUUAUAUUCCUUCAGUUUGCAUAGGAACCAAACUUGACAGAAUUUGUUCACACUGUAUACCAUGUUUAUGUUAAAUCAUAUAUUUGGGGGGUAAAAUGUUUCCCAUAGUAGAACAAAGACUCAAAACUAAUACAAAUGAGGAGGUUUAUGUUAUAUUCCUUCAGUUUGCAUAGGAACAAAAGUUGAUAGAAUUGAGCGAUGAACAAAUAUUUAAUUAUCUACCAUCUCAGCACACAGAAAUAAAGUGAUGAGUUGGAACAAAAUAUUGAUUAUCAAUGGUCUGCUACUUACAUGAGGGUCUGGAGAGGGUUACUGAAUGUAAAAUAAUGGACACACAAAAAUAAAGAACUGAAAAAAUGGGGUAAAAAUAAAGAGUAGAGAAUAAAACAUGUGGAGCAAAAAUAUAAUAACUAGAAAAUAAUUGGCCAAAAAGGUAAAAUAAAAAAAGACGUGAAAUUUAAGAAAAGAGAAUAAUGCAUGAGGAGGAAAAAUAUAAUGAGUAUUGAAUAAUGUGCCAAAAAAUGUAAAUAGAGGGAAAAUUACCCCAAAAAUAAAGGAAAUACAAUUAAGACCCUCAUCUUACAUUUAUUGUGAUUUGUU
rnacentral:lncRNA from 1 species